AUACGGAGGGUCCGAGCGUUAUCCGGAAUUAUUGGGUUUAAAGGGUCCGUAGGCGGGCGAUUAAGUCAGUGGUGAAAGUCUGCAGCUCAACUAUAGAAUUGCCUUUGAUACUGAUUGUCUUGAGUUAUAGUGAAGUUGCCGGAAUAUGUAGUGUAGCGGUGAAAUGCAUAGAUAUUACAUAGAACACCGAUUGCGAAGGCAGGUGACUAACUGUAUACUGACGCUGAUGGACGAAAGCGUGGGGAGCGAACAGGAUUAGAAACCCUAGUAGUCC
rnacentral:rRNA from 1 species